CGAAAGCCUGACGGAGCAAUACCGCGUGAGGGAAGAAGGUCUUUGGAUCGUAAACCUCUUUUCUCAGGGAAGAAGUUCUGACGGUACCUGAGGAAUAAGCCUCGGCUAACUCCGUGCCAGCAGCCGCGGUAAUACGGAGGAGGCAAGCGUUAUCCGGAAUUAUUGGGCGUAAAGCGUUCGCAGGUGGCCAUUCAAGUCUGCUGUCAAAGACCAGAGCUCAACUCUGGGUAGGCGGUGGAAACUGAAUAGCUAGAGUGCCGUAGGGGUAGAGGGAAUUCCCGGUGUAGCGGUGAAAUGCGUAGAGAUCGGGAAGAACAUCGGUGGCGAAAGCGCUCUACUGGACGGCAACUGACACUCAGGGACGAAAGCUAGGGGAGCG
rnacentral:rRNA from 1 species